CCGAUUGCAAGUGUCGACAAGCAAUCGGAAUGCGAAAUGAGGUUCACACGUGAGCGGCGCGGCGGCGCGAAGCGAGGGCGUAGCUCCAUAGUUAGCGCCUUACCACCGAGACCAGAGAUAGCGGUACCUUGAGUCGGCUUUUCUUAAAGAUGUAAGAAAAUAAAAGGAAUAAGAUUGUAAUAAUCAUGUUAAAUCGGAUUGUAUUUGGAAGUUAAAUG